rnacentral:lncRNA from 1 species
AACAUGGAAUAAGACACAUGGAUAAAGACACAUGGAAUAAGACACAUGGAAGAAGACACAUGGAUAAAGACACAUGGAAUAAGACACAUGGAAUAAGACACAUGGAAGAAGACACAUGGAAUAAGACACAUGGAAGAAGACACAUGGAAUAAGACACAUGGAUAAAGACACAUGGAAUAAGACACAUGGAAUAAGACACAUGGAAUAACGACACAUGGAAUAAGACACAUGGAACAUGACACAUGGAAUAAGACACAUGGAAUAAAGACACAUGGAAUAAGACACAUGGAAUAAGACACAUGGAUAAAGACACAUGGACAAAGACACAUGGAAUAAAACACAUGGAAGAAGACACAUGGAAUAAGACACAUGGAUAAAGACACAUGGAAUAAGACACAUGGAAUAAGACACAUGGAAUAAGACACAUAGAUAAAGACACAUGGAAUAAGACACAUGGAUAAAGACACAUGGAUAAAGACACAUGGACAAAGACACAUGGAAUAAAACACAUGGAAGAAGACACAUGGAAUAAGACACAUGGACAAAGACACAUGGAAUAAAACACAUGGAAGAAGACACAUGGAAUAAGACACAUGGAUAAAGACACAUGGAAUAAGACACAUGGAAUAAGACACAUGGAAUAAGACACAAUGAAGAAGCCCAGCUAAUUCAUAUACAGCUGCACGCCUCUCUUUUUCUCUCUCCUCCUCCCUUCCUCCCCUCCUCCUCUCCUCACCCUCCUCCUCUCUUCUCCUCUCCUCCUCCACUCCUCACCUUCCGCCUCUCCUCCCAUCCUCUCUCUCCUUCUGUCCUCCUCUCCUCCGCCUCUCCUCCUCCUCUCCUCCCCACCUCCCCACCUCUUCUCCUCUGCUCCUCUCCCUCCUUUUCUCUUCUCCUCCUCUCCUCACCCUUCACCUCUCCUCCCAUCCUCCUCUCCUUCUGUCCUGCUCUCCUCCUCCCACCUCUUCUGUUCCUCCUCCUCUCCCUCCUCUUCUCUUCUCCUCUCCUCCUCCUCUCCUCCCAUCCUCCUCUCCUACCCGCCUCUCCUCCUCCCUUACUCCUCUCAACAAUCCUCCUCUUCUCCUCCCCCUCUUCUUCUCCCAUACUCAUCCUCUCCUCCUCCUCUUCUUCUCAUCCUCCUCCCAUCCUCCUCUCCUCCUCUCCUCCUCCCCUCCUCUCCUCAUCCUCCUCUCUUCCUCCUCCUCUCCUCCUCUCUUCUCCUCACCCUCCUCCUCUCCUCACCUUCCAUUUCUCCUCCCCUCCUGUCAUGCCUCUCUCCAUAGCCAGUGCAGACAGAUAAGCAGCCAGCCAUAGACUGGCUAAUCCACUGGGAGAAACAGACCAUGAUAGCAAGAUAAAAACCAGCUAGAUAAGCAUGGAGAGAGAGAGAAACCGAGAGAGAGAGACAGAGAGAGAGACAAAGAGACAAAGAGACAGACAGAGAGAAAGAGACAAAGAGCGAGAGAGAGACAAAGAGACAGAGAGAAAGACAUAGAGAGACAAAGAGAGACAGAGAGACAUAGACAAAGAGGGAGACAAAGAAUAAGGGACAGAAGGUUAGAGAAGAGGGGACUAGAGGUAGAGAGACAGAGAGAGGAGAAGGGACAGAAGGGAAGAGGGGACUAGAGGUAGAGAGACAGAGAGAGGAGAAGGGACAGAAGGGAAGAGGGGACUAGAGGUAGAGAGACAGAGAGAGGAGAAGGGACAGAAAGGAAGAGGGGACUAGAGGUAGAGAGACAGAGAGAGGAGAAGGGACAGAAAGGAAGAGGGGACUAGAGGUAGAGAAGUGCAGUAGUUGAGGAAAUAGCAGGAGGUUAAUGUGUUUGUAGUCUGCAGACAGUUUGUCUAAUUUGUUUGAGUGUGACGCCAUAUGUGUUAGUGAGGUCUGUAGAUCUCUCUCGUUCUGUCGCUCUCUCAAUUCAAUUGAAUUCAAUUCCAUUCAAAGGGAAGUAUUGGCAUGGGAAACAUAUGUUUACAUUGCCAAAACAACUGAAAUAGACAAUUAACAAAAGUGAAAUAAACAAUAAAAAAUGAACAGUAAACAAAAGAAUAAAGACAUUUUAAAUGUUAUAUUAUGGCUAUAUACAGUGUUGUAAAAAAGCCUGGAGGGAGCGGUUGAGCCGGAUUACCAGACGCCCUAAAUACCAGAUGUAUUUCUGAGUGUAUCUGAGUGGAGCCAAAGAGAGGAAGAGUGUGCAAGUUGGAGCAGAGAAUGAGUCAGAAUUUGAUUGAGAAGAGAAAGAAAGAUGCAGUUUUGCAGACAACCCAGAAGUGGUUCCCCAGAGAGACGUUUUGGAGGUUUUCGUCAGAUGUAGAGCGCUCUCUCUCUCUCUCUCUCUCUCUCUCUCUCUCUCUCUCUCUCUCUCUCUCUACCUCCCUCUCUCUCUCCAUCCCUCUAUCUCCCUCCCUCUAUCUCCCUCUCUCUCUCGC